UUUCUGAUGACUUAAAGGUAGGCAGGCAAUGUAAUAGAGCAGCAGGAAAUGCUAGCAGAAUGCUUGGUUGUAUAGGGAGAGGUAUUAGCAGUAGAAAGUGCUCAUGCCAUUGUACAGAAAACUGGUGAGACCUCACUUGGAGUAUUGUACACAGUACUGGAGACCGUAUCUUCAGAAGGAUAUUGAUACCUUAGAGAGAGUUCAGAGAAGGGCUACUAAACUGGUUCAUGGAUUGCAG
rnacentral:lncRNA from 1 species